rnacentral:lncRNA from 1 species
CUAAUUUGAAAGAAUUAAAUCAAUAAUAUUUCAGAAAAAAAAGAUAAAUGCAUAAUUCUUUUUUGAUUUACAGAUACACUUUAAUAAGCCAAAAGGUGCCUGCCAAAUUUAAACAAAUCUGUGACAUAGACUAUUUAAAGCUGUAACCUGACCUUAAUGCUUGCAACAAAAUUGUAUUAUACAGGUCAUAUUGCAGUCACCCAACCUUUUCUAUAGCAAAUAUUAAUACCCAUUUGGUAGGCUAGCUAUUGACAUACUGAUAGUGUCGGAUUUGAAGCCAAUGACACUUAUCCUUAUAAAACAUCAGGUCCUGAAUUGCAAGCAGACAAACGCAGACGAACAUUAUAAUUUCUGGAUAUAUUUGGAGCUUUCUGGUAAAAAUUUGACAAUGUACCUACGACUGUAUUUAAUAUUUACAUCAUUAAUCACAAAUACAGAUGCCAGAGGGUAUAUAUAUAUGGGCAUGACAAAACUAGUUCAACCCCGCCGCAUAUUACAUGGGCCUGUCCUAAGUCGAGAUUUAACGCUCCAGGAAAGGGACCUGGUAGGGGCUUAUGGUUGACAAAGCAAGACAAAACCA